AUAGUUGGACGGUAUAAAACAAAGUGUUGAAAAAGAAUAAAGAAACCAUAGAUGGAGCUUGCAGCGCCAAUAAGCAUUUUUGGUAGAUUGCCAGUAACUAUAUGAAUAUCUUUAUUAUAAAUAGCAUCUAGUAUAUUUCUCUAUCUCUCCUUUCUUGCAUCA
rnacentral:ribozyme from 13 species